rnacentral:rRNA from 1 species
GAUGAACGCUGGCGGCGUGCCUAAGACAUGCAAGUCGAGCGGUAAGGUCCCUUCGGGGAUACACGAGCGGCGGACGGGUGAGUAACACGUAGGAACGUACCCCAAACUGAGGGAUAAGCAUCAGAAAUGGUGUCUAAUACCGCAUGUGCUCUUCGGAGUAAAGCUCCGGCGGUUUGGGAACGGCCUGCGCAUGAUUAGCGUUGUUGGUGAGGUAAUAGCUCACCAAGGCGACGAUCAUUAGCUGGUCUGA